rnacentral:rRNA from 1 species
GACGAACCGUGCGAACGUUGUUCGGAAUCACUGGGCUUAAAGGGUGCGUAGGCGGGCUGACAAGUCUGGGGUGAAAUCCCGCGGCUCAACCGUGGAACUGCCUUAGAUACUGUCGGCCUCGAGGAAGGUAGGGGCAUGCGGAACUGUAGGUGGAGCGGUGAAAUGCGUUGAUAUCUACAGGAACUCCGGUGGCGAAAGCGGCGUGCUGGACUUUUUCUGACGCUGAGGCGCGAAAGCUAGGGGAGCAGACGGG